UAGGGAAUCUUCCGCAAUGGACGCAAGUCUGACGGAGCAACGCCGCGUGAGUGAAGAAGGAUUUCGGUUCGUAAAACUCUUUUGUUAGAGAAGAACAGCGCAUAGAGUAACUGUUAUGCGUGUGACGGUAUCUAACCAGAAAGCCACGGCUAACUACGUGCCAGCAGCCGCGGUAAUACGUAGGUGGCAAGCGUUGUCCGGAUUUAUUGGGCGUAAAGCGAGCGCAGGCGGUCAAUUAAGUCUGAUGUGAAAGCCCCCGGCUCAACCGGGGAGGGUCAUUGGAAACUGGUUGACUUGAGUGCAGAAGAUGAGAGUGGAAUUCCAUGUGUAGCGGUGAAAUGCGUAGAUAUAUGGAGGAACACCAGUGGCGAAGGCGACUCUCUGGGCUGUAACUGACGCUGAGGCUCGAAAGCGUGGGUAGCAAACAGG
rnacentral:rRNA from 1 species